rnacentral:rRNA from 1 species
GCUCAGGAUGAACGCUAGCUACAGGCUUAACACAUGCAAGUCGAGGGGCAGCGGGAUUGAAGCUUGCUUCAAUUGCCGGCGACCGGCGCACGGGUGAGUAACGCGUAUCCAACCUUCCGCUUACUCGGGGAUAGCCUUUCGAAAGAAAGAUUAAUACCCGAUGGUAUCUUAAGCACGCAUGAGAUUAAGAUUAAAGAUUUAUCGGUAAGCGAUGGGGAUGCGUUCCAUUAGGCAGUUGGCGGGGUAACGGCCCACCAAACCUACGAUGGAUAGGGGUUCUGAGAGGAAGGUCCCCCACAUUGGAACUGAGACACGGUCCAAACUCCUACGGGAGGCAGCAGUGAGGAAUAUUGGUCAAUGGGCGAGAGCCUGAACCAGCCAA